rnacentral:rRNA from 1 species
GAACGCUGGCGGCGUGCCUAAUACAUGCAAGUAGAACGCUGAAGAGAGGAGCUUGCUCUUCUUGGAUGAGUUGCGAACGGGUGAGUAACGCGUAGGUAACCUGCCUUGUAGCGGGGGAUAACUAUUGGAAACGAUAGCUAAUACCGCAUAACAAUGGAUGACACAUGUCAUUUAUUUGAAAGGGGCAAUUGCUCCACUACAAGAUGGACCUGCGUUGUAUUAGCUAGUAGGUGAGGUAACGGCUCACCUAGGCGACGAUACAUAGCCGACCUGAGAGGGUGAUCGGCCACACUGGGACUGAGACACGGCCCAGACUCCUACGGGAGGCAGCAGUAGGGAAUCUUCGGCAAUGGGGGCAACCCUGACCGAGCAACGCCGCGUGAGUGAAGAAGGUUUUCGGAUCGUAAAGCUCUGUUGUAAGUCAAGAACGAGUGUGAGAGUGGAAAGUUCACACUGUGACGGUAGCUUACCAGAAAGGGACGGCUAACUACGUGCCAGCAGCCGCGGUAAUACGUAGGUCCCGAGCGUUGUCCGGAUUUAUUGGGCGUAAAGCGAGCGCAGGCGGUUUGAUAAGUCUGAAGUUAAAGGCUGUGGCUCAACCAUAGUUCGCUUUGGAAACUGUCAAACUUGAGUGCAGAAGGGGAGAGUGGAAUUCCAUGUGUAGCGGUGAAAUGCGUAGAUAUAUGGAGGAACACCGGUGGCGAAAGCGGCUCUCUGGUCUGUAACUGACGCUGAGGCUCGAAAGCGUGGGGAGCGAACAGGAUUAGAUACCCUGGUAGUCCACGCCGUAAACGAUGAGUGCUAGGUGUUGGAUCCUUUCCGGGAUUCAGUGCCGCAGCUAACGCAUUAAGCACUCCGCCUGGGGAGUACGACCGCAAGGUUGAAACUCAAAG